CGGGCCGAGCGGGUAGCGAGGGCCGGGCCGAGCGGGUAGCGAGGGCCUAACCGAGGCUCCCGGCCGCUCCCCAAAGGCCGCGAGCGCACGUUGGUCAGCCGCCCCGCCGCUCCCAACGCCUCAAUACGGGACGGAUGGGACAGUCCGAGCGCCGCCGCCCCUGCUCCGGCCCCUGCCCACCCCGCUUGCCCUCUCCCCGCCGCGGAUGGACUCGGAUCUCCCGGGCCUAAACCCCCUUCAGCUGCCGGAAGGAGCCACCACCAUCGCGCUGUGACGUCACUUCCCCUAGCAACCCCCGGUGUCUGGGAAGCCAGCGUCUCCUCGCGACAGGCCUGGGACAAGCACACAGGCAGUGCCCUUUGCUGGAGGGAGAGAGGAGAGAGAGCUUGUCCCUCCAGGCCCCAGACCCGCACAUUCGGGACUCUCCAAGAGGGGCCCGCCCUCCCUGCACCGGCGCCUGUGGGAAGUGACACAGGCCAGGCUACAGGGGACACAAGUGUGCACAGAUCUCUUGGGCUGGCCGAGACCUGCACUGUGCUGUUCCCUUCCCACCCUAUGAGCUAAGUCCCGGGCCUACAGCGCUCUCAAGCCUAGGACUGAAGGAAGAGCCGUCCUAGGGCCUGGUGUCAGACUGAAGGGUGAGGGUGACACUACCACGUUUCAGAGGGUGAGGUCUGCAUUGCCUGCCUCUCCAGUUCCAUUGCCUGGAGACUGGAUCAAUGUUUUCAUCUAGUCUGCGUUGGGUCUUCAGAGAGGUGCCUGAACCAAGAAGGAAUGACUUUCGUGUCGAUGCUUCUCUACGCCUAUCUCCCACCCCAGCCAAAAAGAAAGAACCAUAAAACAGGCUGUUAAUACAUAUUUUUGGACAGCUAACAAACAUACUGCUCUGAGCACAGGGGUUACAUAGAGGUGUGGGUGAGAUGGUUGCCAGGGCCGCCAUUCAGGAUCAUAUUCCCUGGUUGCAGAGAAGGAAAGUGCCUGGUCUCUCCAUUCACAAGUCUUCCCUCUCCACCACUCAGCCUCAGUAGUGCAGCCCCUGUUUGAAAAUAGUUGGAGGUCAAU